UUAUUCAGGUGAGCCACAGUGUCGUGGCACUAUACUAUCACAUAUUCCAGAGCAGGUCUACUUGAAGCCACAUUGUCCGUUCACUUGUCGAGACGAUGGCGACAUCCCGAGUGCUGGUCCUCUACACUGGAGGAACAUUUGGCAUGGAAUACACAAACGAAGAUACCUUUGACCCUGCAGCCCUUGGGAGAAUACUGACAACACUUAGGCGGAAUCCUUAUCUCCAUGACAACAGGGACUCGUACCACGAAACGGAUAAAGAAGUCAGGCGACUCGUCACGCCAGGUCUGAGGAUAAAUGGGCUGACUCAGCAUAUUGUCUACGACGUUGAGGACUUUGGCACCCUGUUAUUUUCCUCCAACAUGGAACACAAGCACUGGCAAGAAAUCGCUACGUAUAUAAAAGAUCACUACGCCGAAUACACGGGCUUUGUCAUCAUCACGGGGACGGACACAAUGGCGUAUGCAGGCUCUGCAGUGUCCUUCAUGCUGCAGCACCUCAAUAAGCCGGUCGUCUUCACGGGGGCCCAGAUUCCAAUAUUCGAGUCGUCAACAGACGGUUUGAACAAUCUCCUAUGUUCGCUCAUCAUGGCGACUCAACACAUUCCGGAGGUGAUGCUAUGCUUCAAUAAGACGGCCUUCCGGGCAAACAGGACGAUCAAGAUCGACUCUGUAGACGUCGAAGCCUAUGCUUCCCCUAACAUGCCAUCCCUAGCGACUGUCGACAUGGCUGAAGACGCGCUGGACGUGAACCUCUCGGUGAAGGAGAGCCUGGUGAGAAGAAACACGGUCACCGAGGAACUGGAUGUUCUACCGGUCUGCAACAAGGAGGAUGUCGGUAUGCUGAUGCUGUAUCCGGGGAUAUCAGCAGAUAUGGUGGUUUGUUUUGUUCGAGAUUUGAAGGGAGUGGUCCUACUUUCCUAUGGAGCAGGCAACAUGAGCGAGGAUGUGGUUGAUGCCCUCGAGAAACUUGUGAAAGGUGGAGAUCGCAUGUUCGUUAACAUCACAAGCUGUCUGAAAGGAGGUGUGGCGACAAAUACAUCACUACAGGGCCUGGUCCGGUGUGGACUUAUUCUCGGCGGGGACAUGACACCCCAAGCUGCCUUCACUAAACUAAGCUACGUCCUUGCGACAAACCUGAGUGUCGAGGAAAGGAAAAAGCUGAUGCUGCAGAAUCUAAGAGGCGAAAUUACGGUGACGAAAAUUGAUUCUGUGUAGAACACGAUAAACAAGAACGUGUACUUGUACUGGAUGUGAGAUGAGUGUAAGUAACAGUGUUAAACUAUGCAUGACGCCCCUUUAAACAACGUUAACAGUGCCUGACGCCUCUUUAAACAGUGUUAACAGUUCCUGACGCCGCUUCAAACAGUGUUAACAGUUCCUGACGCCGCUUUAAACAGUAUUAACAGUGUCUGACCCCGCUUUAAACAGUAUUAACAGUGCCUGACGCCACUUCAAACAGUGUUAACAGUGCAUGAUGCCGCUACAUGCUCCUUGGUGUAAGACUUGUACAACCACAUCAAUUGAACAAAUUAUAUGGAAAGGUAUUUAACCAUGAAUAAAGAUACAUUAUUUAUAAUAAAUAUUAUCUUUAUUUCUUUUAACGGCCAUUGUACUUUGAGCUUCAUAAAUGGGCAUAUUCAAUCGUAUUGUAACUAUUUAGUUAGAUUUGCGUCAUAUUUAAGCCAAAACAGGUUGUAAAAGAAAUGUAAGCAAAACAAAGAUAUUCUACAUAAUUAGUAUUUUUAGUUUUGUCCUUAGAGUAUAUUUCCAUUAUUUAAAGUAAUAUGAUAACGUGUUCCAGAAAAUACUUUUCGAGAUAAUGACUGGUCCCUUUCAAUGGUUACUGUUUUGAAAAAUCAAAACGUUCACACGCAAUAGUGACUGUACUUAUAAUACGAUUGUCACCAAAAUCUUACACAAGUGCCCCCCUAGUAUUUGGGAAGAAUGAAUGUUCAUCCAUACCCAAAUUUAAAGGAGCCAAUUAGGGGUGACGGAUGUACGAUUCCUCAGGCUCUGGAGCAAGAUAAUGUGUGACAUGACUAUGUCAAGCAGAUAUCAAUGAAAUCAAUGAUAACAGAAAUGUAUUCUUAGUAUGAACCCCGAAAUAUCAGUGCACUGGAUAUGUUAUUUAUUCUUUGUUGUAAGUUAUAUCAAUAUGACAUUAGAAGUUGUAAUACUACGUAUGCAAUAACA
rnacentral:misc_RNA from 1 species